UACGGGGGGGGCAAGCGUUGUUCGGAAUUACUGGGCGUAAAGGGCUCGUAGGCGGCCAACUAAGUCAGACGUGAAAUCCCUCGGCUUAACCGGGGAACUGCGUCUGAUACUGGAUGGCUUGAGGUUGGGAGAGGGAUGCGGAAUUCCAGGUGUAGCGGUGAAAUGCGUAGAUAUCAGGAGGAACACCGGUGGCGAAGGCGGCUUUCUGGACAGAAACUGACGCUGAUGCGCGAAAGCUAGGGGAGCAAACAGG
rnacentral:rRNA from 1 species